UUGGAAACAGGUGCUAAUACCGGAUAAUAAAGCAGAUCGCAUGAUCAGCUUUUGAAAGGCGGCGUAAGCUGUCGCUAAGGGAUGGCCCCGCGGUGCAUUAGCUAGUUGGUAAGGUAACGGCUUACCAAGGCGACGAUGCAUAGCCGAGUUGAGAGACUGAUCGGCCACAUUGGGACUGAGACACGGCCCAAACUCCUACGGGAGGCAGCAGUAGGGAAUCUUCCACAAUGGACGCAAGUCUGAUGGAGCAACGCCGCGUGAGUGAAGAAGGUUUUCGGAUCGUAAAGCUCUGUUGUUGGUGAAGAAGGAUAGAGGUAGUAACUGGCCUUUAUUUGACGGUAAUCAACCAGAAAGUCACGGCUAACUACGUGCCAGCAGCCGCGGUAAUACGUAGGUGGCAAGCGUUGUCCGGAUUUAUUGGGCGUAAAGCGAGCGCAGGCGGAAAAAUAAGUCUAAUGUGAAAGCCCUCGGCUUAACCGAGGAACUGCAUCGGAAACUGUUUUUCUUGAGUGCAGAAGAGGAGAGUGGAACUCCAUGUGUAGCGGUGGAAUGCGUAGAUAUAUGGAAGAACACCAGUGGCGAAGGCGGCUCUCUGGUCUGCAACUGACGCUGAGGCUCGAA
rnacentral:rRNA from 1 species